rnacentral:tRNA from 1 species
UGCGGGAUAGUGUAAAGGUAACAUCCUAGGCUCAUAACCUAGAGGAUGGUGGUUCGAAUCCAUCUCCCGCUACUA